GACGAACGCUGGCGGCGUGCCUAACACAUGUAAGUCGUGCGAGAAAGUUCCUUCGGGAGCGAGUAAAGCGGCGCACGGGUGAGUAACACGUAGGUAACCUGCCCCCCAGUCUGGAACAACUAGAGGAAACUCUAGCUAAUGCCGGAUGAGACCACGAUCCCUUCGGGGGUUGCGGCCAAAGAUGGCCUCUACUUGUAAGCUAUCGCUGAGGGAUGGGCCUGCGGGCCAUUAGCUUGUUGGUGAGGUAACGGCUCACCAAGGCUGUGAUGGCUAGCUGGUCUGAGAGGAUGACCAGCCACACUGGGACUGAGACACGGCCCAGACCUCCUACGGGAGCAGCAGUGGGAAUAUUGCGCAAUGGGCGAAAGCCUGACGCAGCGACGCCGCGUGGGUGA
rnacentral:rRNA from 1 species